rnacentral:lncRNA from 1 species
GCUAAUGGGGUACAAGUGGAAGUGAUGUGUACAAUUCCCUGGUUGUACCCUUAAAAGGAAGUUUACUUGUAUUCAUUCUAGUUUAGUCCUCUUUUCUGAAAUGAUUUUAUUUGUAAUUCUUUCUUCAGUCUUGUCACUUUAUUUCUAAGUUUUUCUUUUUUCUUUUUCUUUUUUGGUGAGGAAGAUGGGCCCUGAGCUGACAUCUGUGCCAAUCUUCCUCUAUUUUUUGUGAGAUGGCCCCACAGCAUGGCUUGAGGAGCUGUGCUAGGUCCACACCCAGCAUCCGAACCUGCAAACCCCAGCCUACAAAGCAGAGUGCAUGAACUUAACCCCUAUGCCACCGGGCCAGCCCCUCAAAGUUUUUCUAUUCUGAUUCAUGUUGUUAUCUCACAUCUGAUAUCAUCUUCUCAUUAUCUUUUAGCUCAUUUUGAGAUAGUAGUUACAUUUUAAAAUCUGUUUUGUGGGUGUAUCUUUCCAGCUCAUCUUUGUUGUCUGUAGAGAUGUUAUUUCGCUCCUUAUUCUCUCUUUUCUUAUGAUAACAUUGUAUGAGGUUUGGCCUAGAUAAUUGUCUAUUGCUUAUUUCUAUUUAAAGUUAGUUUUCCUGAACUUUCAGAAGGAGGCUGGCCAGACUUCCAGCAUAAGAUCAGCCCUGAGCUAACAUCUGCCACCAAUCCUCCUCUUUUUGCUGAGGAAGACUGGCCCUGAGCUAACAUCCAUGCCCAUCUUCUUCUACUUUAUAUGUGGGACGCCUACCACAGCAUGGCUUGCCAAACGGUACCAUGUCCAUACCCGGGAUCUGAACCAGCGAACCCCAGGCCACUGAAGUGGAAUGUGCGCACUUAACUGCUGCGCCACCAGGCUGGCCCCAAGAUUAGAGCCUAAGAUGGGGAUUCUUGUGUACAGGAUUUAUUGAGAGAGGGCUCUCAGAAUAAGGGAGCUGAGGGAAGCUGGAUAAGGGAGAGGAAGAAGCUAAGCAAGAAUGUGGUUCCAGCUGGAGUCUACUUGGGCCUGAUCCACCAGGCGCUCUGGAGCAUGAAUGGCCACAGAACUGGUUCAACCUUGAGGCAACUGGGCUGGGCUUUUGUACCCCUAUUUGAGCCAAUGAUUGGCUAUAAAUUGCCAGUUGGAGUGGCAAGUGGGGGCAUAAUCUCCCAGGUGAGAUGGCUCCUGUGAACUGAGGACAGUUCUCUGGAGAAGGGACAGCCAUGUGCUGCUGGCAGGCAACACUCAUAGAAGCUGGAGACGAGCACAUUGAUCUGUUAAAGGGGAUAUGGUUGGGGCACUUACCACAUACAAUAAUAUAUAGUAUUUUUAUUGCUUUAUAUUUGUAGUAUUUCAUGAUUUUAUAUAAAUUUAUUUUAUCUAUAACCAAUUUAGAAAUGUGUUUAAAAUAAUUUAU